UACGGGAGGCAGCAGUGGGGAAUAUUGGACAAUGGGCGAAAGCCUGAUCCAGCCAUGCCGCAUGAGUGAAGAAGGCCUUCGGGUUGUAAAGCUCUUUUAGUGAGAAAGAUAAUGACGGUACUCACAGAAGAAGUCCUGGCUAACUCCGUGCCAGCAGCCGCGGUAAUACGGAGGGUGCGAGCGUUAAUCGGAAUUACUGGGCGUAAAGGGCACGCAGGCGGUUAAUUAAGUUGGAUGUGAAAUCCCCGGGCUUAACCUGGGAAUGGCAUUCAAGACUGGUUAGCUAGAGUCUUGUAGAGGGGGGUUAGAAUUCCAUGUGUAGCGGUGAAAUGCGUAGAGAUGUGGAGGAAUACCGGUGGCGAAGGCGGCCCCUGGACAAAGCUGACGCUCAUGUGCGAAAGCGUGGGGAGCAAACGAGGGAUUAGAUACC
rnacentral:rRNA from 1 species